AGAGAGUCCCAUGUUCACGAAGAAAACGACUGCACCCCGACUUGGCUCAAAUCACCGAGUUAAAUGAGUCAGGGUUGAAACUGGCUCUGCUCGUUAGCAGAGAAAGGAAGUUGAGAGAACGGAGAAGAAAGGAAGAAAGAGAUCCUCCACUUCUGCUCUGUCAUUCGACCAUAACCUACUACCCUACCACAUUUCCACCAUCCCCAUUUAGAUCGAACUCAAUCCGGGUCACCAGGAAUCGACCCAGCCAUUACUGAGUCCAGAAACGUUCCCUCUGGUAGAGAAGACUCGACGCUGACUCGACUCCCUCAACGUUCUGUGCCAAGAUCAGUCGACUCGAUUGACCAAUGUUAACUCGCCAACGUGCCCCUGCCGAGUUGAACGAUCUCAAUAGAUUUAUGUGCAACAGAUUUUCUAUUUGCAACAGAGUCAUUAGAAAGAGAAUUGGAACUCCUUUCUCUUAAUCAGCAGGAGGUUGGGGUCAGGGCAUCUCGACCAACCAACAAACCGCAGAGGCUGACUCACCAAGUCUCCACCCAACUUUCCCCUCGAUGCAGCCGAUUUCGGUUCAAUCCGAGUCACUGAAAGUUGACUCAGCUGCUUAGUUAAGUCAUGGAGCCAACUUCCUGACUUGGUCAGAGUUGGUGAAAGCCUUGCUUGAAUCACCCUCCUCAAGGGACAACUCCCAUUUAGUGUCAAGGAUUACUUGAAGGGAAUUUGAGAACCCACAUCGAAUUCAAGAAUCGAGUAAUUGUAUAACCACAACAAGUAUUACCCACCGCUGUCUAUCUUGAAGGAUAACCCUUCCCCCAACCAAGAUUGAAUCAAGUGAGUAGUUGACAAAAUCUACCUAGUCACUGGUCCAAAUGUGAGUU